GGCCCGGCGCGGCGGCGGUGGGCGCCUGUCCCCCCCUGCCGGGCACGGCGGGCAGCGAAGCCGGAGCCCAGCUGUGGCCGUCCGUCUCGCCGCGCCACUGGGCGAGGGCACGGCGCCAUGUGCUCCGGCUGCCGCUCCAGGAAGGAAGCGGGGCUCUCGGGGGAGCGGGAAGCCGUCGGCGCCGGGAGACGGUCCCCAGGGUCGCUAGCCGAGGGGCAAGAGCCGAGCCUCGGAGCAGCACCGUGCCCACCUCCCGCAGGAGGAGUGAGGGUCCCCGCGACCCCGGGGGACGUGCUGGGAGAGGCCUGGCCCCGUUUAACGAGGGGCAGGCUGAGCCCAGGGGCUCUGGAGCCUCCCGGGCCUCGCAGAGGGCCACCAGGCUCCGGCCACCAGCCCAUAUCCAGCCUGCUCCCCGGGGCCUAGCCAGCGCUGCACCGCGGCAGUCGCGGAAGAGGCAGGGGCGCACGCGGCUUUGGCCACCGCCGAGGUGUGUUUGUCACGACUGCAGCCAGCUGCGUCCUAUCCGCAGCCCCAUAAAACGCCGAGCCCCGAGGCCAGAGCCCCUCCUGGGGACGCCUGCUCCGGAGGAGCCCGGCUGCCGUUCAAGAGCUGGAACAGACGCUCGCGCACGAUCUGGCCCUCCUCCUCCUCCUCCUCCCCCGGGAGGAAGGGGCCAGUAGCCAGCGCUCACCCCAGGGGCACAGGGAGGCAGAGCCCAGUGCGUCCCCAGGGGCUUAGACCCCGAGCCCAGGCCAAGGCAGGCCUGGAAGUCCCCCGAGCCACCCUGCCUGUGGUCCAAGCGCCAGUCGCACACACGUGGCUUGGCUCGCAGAGCGGCCCCGGCAGAGGUCAGAAGUUUGUGUACCCGGAGCGGCCGCGCUGCCGAGCCCCGAAACAUCGCGGCUGCCCAGGCCGCACCUACGGCGGGGGGUUCCAGGAGGGCUCUAAACGCCAGGCGUGCAAACCUGGGACGGAGAAGAGGAGGGGAGGCCACGGCGGCCACGCGCUCAAGGACGG
rnacentral:lncRNA from 1 species